CGGGAGAUGGCCGAGUGGUUGAAGGCACUGGUCUUGAAAACCAGCGUAGGGAAACCUACCGUGGGUUCGAAUCCCACUCUCCCGG
rnacentral:tRNA from 1 species